rnacentral:rRNA from 1 species
GACGAACGCUGGCGGCGUGCUUAACACAUGCAAGUCGAGCGGUAAGGCCCUUUCGGGGGUACACGAGCGGCGAACGGGUGAGUAACACGUGGGUGACCUGCCCUCAGCUCUGGGAUAAGCCUGGGAAACCGGGUCUAAUACUGGAUAUGACUCCAUGACGCAUGUUGUGGGGUGGAAAGCCUUGUGCGGCUGAGGAUGGGCCCACGGCCUAUCAGCUUGUUGGUGGGGUGANGGCCUACCAAGGCGACGACGGGUAGCCGGCCUGAGAGGGCGACCGGCCACACUGGGACUGAGACACGGCCCAGACUCCUACGGGAGGCAGCAGUGGGGAAUCUUGCGCAAUGGGACGAAAGCCUGACGCAGCGACGCCGCGUGAGGGAUGACGGCC